rnacentral:rRNA from 1 species
AUUGAACGCUGGCGGCAGGCCUAACACAUGCAAGUCGAGCGAGCGGCGGACGGGUGAGUAAUGUAUGGGGACUGCCCGAUAGAGGGGGAUAACUACUGGAAACGGUAGCUAAUACCGCAUACUAUCGGAUAACCCAUAUGGGAUUAGCUAGUAGGUGAGGUAAUGGCUAACCUAGGCGACGAACCCUAGCUGGUCUGAGAGGAUGAUCAGCAACACUGGGACAGAGACACGGCCCAGACUCCUAAGGAAGCAGCAGUGGGAGAUAUUGCACAAUGGGCGCAGGCCGUAUGCAGCCAUGCAGCGUGUAUGAAGAAGACCCUAGGGUUGUAAAGUACUUUCAGUCGGGAGGCGUUACCGACAGAAGAAGCACCGGCUAACUCCGUGCCAGCAGCCGCGGUAAUUC